GAGGACAUACAGUUGCCUCUGAAAUUCUAUGUCGUGGCCUGGAUAGGCACAGACAUAUCCAUAUCGGAUGUCUUCAAGGAAAAGGAUUGACACACACACACACACUGAAUUCAACCGACACAUCAAUGCAUGCAGGCCUGUUGCAGCGAUGGAAAACCAAACGUAAGCUACCACUAAAAGUAAGAAAAACACCGCUUUGCUUAUAAUUUGAUUUGUUCUUCUAAACUUUUCUCCUCUUUAUAUAUAUAAAAAAACCCCUAAAAUUAAGUUGCUGUAACUGUAGAUAAAUAAGAUGUUAUGAAGAUUUGAGGUGAUGCUGAGGAUGGUUGUUAGUUGGAGUGGAGUUAAAAUAUGAAAAUACACUGAAGAUUGAUCAACAUGAAA